CUUCAGGUGUGACUCAGAUGGAUAAAUGGAGUGACUUGCACCAUAAACCACACCAGCUACUUUUUAAUCUUCUCUCCAGCUCCAGACCUGGCUCCUCUGAGCCCAAGAAAUAAGUCACCAGUUUCUGCACACCUUUCGUACAAAGAGGACAAAGAUUCAUAUUUAUCAGAGCAUCAUACAGCGCUUCUUCCGCCUCUCCUUUCUUUUCAGAGAUGUUGCUGUAAUUGAAGGCCCUGAUCAGUAAGACAUAGAGGAUUCUGUGUCUUUGGAAG